CCCUUCGAUGUUCUGGGCCGCACGCGCGCUACAAUGACUCACUCAGAAAGUUUUUCCUGAUCCGGAAGGAUUCGGGUAAUCUUCAUAGCAUGAGUCGUGUUAGGGAUCGAUCUUUGCAAUUAUAGAUCUUGAACGAGGAAUGCCUAGUAAGUGCAGCUCAUCAGGCUGUACUGAUUACGUCCCUGCCCUUUGUACACACCGCCCGUCGCUCCUACCGAUUGAGUGGUCCGGUGAACCUUCUGGAUUAAGCAGCAAUGCUUGAGAAGUUAGGUAAACCUUAUCACUUAGAGGAAGGAGAAGUCGUAACA
rnacentral:rRNA from 1 species